AGCAAUUUGUUCUUUUAUUUAGUAUUAAAGUUAAGUAUUUUGUUUUUAUAUGGUAAUGACUUGGCAAAAGGUUAGUCAUUUAUAAUAGUAUUAAGCAUAUAAAAUGUAUUUUUCAUGCUGCCUUUAAAGGUAGUUUGUGUAAAUCUGUAGAAACUGAAUCCCCCAAUUUGGUUUUGUUAUAUGGCAUCUCAUUGAUUGGAAGGAGUCAACUCUUACACAGGCGAGCCUUUUGAAUGCAGUCGAGCAAUGACUCAGCAUCCAUUGACAGUCAUGAUAGUGCUGCUUUUAGUCGAUAGGUCGGGCUCUGUGGGGUUUCCCUUCUGCAUAUACUGUGUGGGGGUCUGAACGAGGCAACAUUAACCCCUCACUUUCCUCUCCAUCUUGAGGGCGAUUGCUUUUCACGCCCUACCUGUGUAAAAUGGAGGCACUGAGGUAAAAGGGUAGAGGUAAAUCACUGUGUGAGAAAAUCCCACUCAGUACAUCCGAGCGAUUGGAAAACCCCAGCCUUUCAGGUUAGAUGCUUAAACCUACUUAAGUUGUUAAAUUUCCAGUUCCCUGUCGCAAAGUUUUGAUUCGUUUUCACAGUUCUGCUUGCUAUAAUGUGCUGUGCUCAGCAGUGUUUAUCACAUGGUUGUUUACAUGAAAAAAAAAAAGCAUGAUCAAUGGCCUCCACAAGGUACCACUAAAAUUCGUAGAAGCAAAUUAUUAUUAUUAUUUUGAAUUGUCUCGAGUGCCUUUUGAGAGCUUCAACUUUCAUUUCAAGUUUCAUUUCUUAUUACAGUGUUUAUCGAGCUAAAUUUGGAAUUUUUGCUACAAGCUAACUACAUAAAAAUAUUUUAUAAAGCUAUUUAAAAAGUAGUUAGCUACUACAAGUUGUCAACUACAUUCAAGCUAUGCAUAAUUUGCAAUUUAUUUACACAAAUUAGAUGUAUUUAUCUGCCACAUAAACAGCAAGGGGUUUCUGAAUGAAUGACUCACUCGCAAUAAAAAAAAAAACCUAUACAACAGUUGCAAACAUAGUGAUAUUACGACAUUGACAAGAAAACUUAAAAUGUCAUGUAGGAACGUUGAAUCUUUUUUUUGUUUUGUUUUGUUGAUUUUUUUUUUUGGUCUGAAUGAACCAGUUAAUGGUAAAAUGUAUAAAAUGAAUCAGACUUAAUUUAAUUGGUAACGCUGCUUGCAGUUAAUUUUCACCCGACUCUUUAGUAAAACAACAUUCAAAUUAAGGAGUAAAUUUCUAAACGAUCAGCUGAAUUUUUUUUUUUGUUUUUUUGCUGCUUAAAUCAUUAUGCAUUUCAGUUAUGACUUAACUGUGACACAUAUAUGAUGAAAUUCUAUGUGAUUCGGAAAGUACUGUACGUGGGUGAAUUUUGCCAGUGCGAUUAUUAUUAACACCCUCUCCAAUACGUGGUUAUUAAUCAUAGGUUAUUAUGGUCUUCUUUUUAAAAUGUGAGUCAUUAAAUUUGGUGUGUUAUUUGUUUUUUGUUUUUUUAACUCUACAGUUAUAGCUUGAAUCACACCAAAUUUCAGGUUUGGUUGGGCCUUUAUCCCAAUGAGUGUGCUCUUGCUGGAGGCGUUCUAUGGCGGCUCCCACAAACAGCUGGUUGAUCUUCUCAAGGAAAGCGUUGAAGACUGUGUAAGCUUCACUCUGCCUGCAAAGAAAUGGCACUGGAGGGCCAGAACUUCUGCUCUGUACUUCAUGCAAGCAGUUCCAGCAAGUUCCUUGUACAGGGUUUUGUUCACCAGCUCUGUACUCAAUCUUGCUGAACUGGUAGCCUUGCGGCCUGAUCUCGCCCAUCUUAAGAAGGUCCUCUACUUCCAUGAGAACCAGUUGGUCUAUCCAGUUCGCAAGAGCCAGGAAAGAGACUUCCAAUAUGGCUACAACCAGAUCCUCUCAUGUCUGGUUGCGGAUGUGGUGGCGUUCAACUCUGCAUUCAACAUGGAAUCUUUCCUCUCCUCCAUCUCUACCUUCAUGAAGACCAUGCCUGACCAUCGACCCAAAGAUCUGAACCGACUCAUCCGGCCCAAGUGCCGUGUCCUUCACUUCCCGAUUCGUUUUCCCGAUGUCACAAGAUUCCUCUCUGCACACAAACGUCUCAGGCAUUCAGUGCGGUGUGAUGAUAUCCACGCUCCGGCUACUCAAAGCCACGUUCAAACAUCAGCUCCAAGUUGUCCAGAGCUCACAAUAGACUCAGAACCACCUGAAAAGAUUCUCAGUGUGUCAGGUCCGCAGCAGUCGCCGGAGCCUGUGAGUGUCACACCACGUCAGGAGACAUUGCAGAUUCAGCCUGUCUCUCAUCCGUGUGGUGACAAGAGAGGGAAUCUUCAGCCACUUCACAUAGUCUGGCCACAUCGCUGCCUCUCUUUUUGUCAUCAUCACUGGUUGCAGAUUGUUAAUCUCCAUGUGGCCUGGAUAGGUCUUCAUCCGUUGGAUUACAGGACUGUCUUAUUGCAGGCGCUGACCGGGGCGUAUGGUCAGAGAGGGCAGCUGUUUGCAGACUGUGCAGCGGGCACUAAUGACCAAGUAAAAGAGACGCAGCCACUGACGCAUCACCACUCUGUGCUGGCAAGCAUUGUGACUGGUUCCACGACUCCUCCUGCGCCCCGCUCAUCGCCAGAGCCGUGCCGCCGAGACCCCCAUUAGAGAGGGACGGUGCUUGGAAGGACAUGAUAUGUUGGAAUCUUGAAAACGACACAAAGGAUUUAAACCCGACUUGCGAGCGAAGGCAGAAUUCCAGAAAAGAUUAGACUUUUGAUGUUUGCACACAAUUAAAACUAAUGAAUCAGGGUCAUGUUAGAGUAGAGAAGUGGAAAACAAGUCGUUUACUGACAGUCCGAAUGUAACCGAAGACAUCAGCCCAUACAUUUUCACAUCCAUUCAUGUAUAGUUAGUCUCUUAUUAGGACCCCAGCACGCACCCCUCCCUGUGGAGGUACAGCGAGAACGAUCGACACGGUCAUGGUUUGUUUUGUCUUGUUUUACCGGAGGCUUUGCCUUUGCUAUUUUCAGCUGACCCUAAUCAAUCCCCAGAUAACCGAAUCCUGGGCUUUCAAGAGCCCUAUUAAUUAGCCCUUUCGCUUCCUUCUGAUUUGAAUCCUUUAACGUCAUGCUUUUGCAGUAAAUAGAGUUUGAAUUUUAAAACAUGCACCUCAUGGGUGCGACUUAAAGGGGAAUAUUUAAUCAUAGCUGUCUAAAUGAGAGGAUCAUAUUCUUUUAAGUGGUACCGGAUGACUGCUAAUGAGGAUUCGCAGGGUCCCUGCAGAACCCUUUUUUUCGUAUUUGUUUUAUUUGGUUUCUGUCUCAUUGCACUCGGAGGUCAAAGGGUAAGAAAAACCCCCAUUUUAGUAUUGGGAAGUUAGAUAUAUUUAUGACUUGGAUAUAUAAAUAAACUUUUGUACAUUUACACUACCGAUGAAAAGUUUAGUAAUAAGUAAGAUUUUUUUUGAGAAUUAUUUUUAAUAAGCAAGGAUGCAUUCAAGUGUGUCAAAAAUUAAACAUGAUAGUAAAGAAAUUUGUUACAAAAUUAUAUUUCAACCUUUUGAUUGUUUUAUUUACCAAAACGUAUAACAGUUUUUUUUUUUUUUUUGGUUUGUUUGUUUUGGCUACUACUGGAAUAAAUGGAAUAUUAGCACUUGAAUUGUAGUGUGUAUACAAUUUAAUUUGAUUAUUAAUAUAUAUUGAAAAUAAUUAAUCUUUUAUAAUCUUUUUUAUUAUGCCUGUUGCUUAGAAAGUUGCUUCUGGAUUGUUCUUCUGUUUGUUUUCCCAAUACUAGCAAUAUCAUCUCCCCCAAACUUUAUUUGGGUCAUGCUUAAGUUUGCCACGUAUCAUUAACAUCUGCACUUAAAAUGGCCCUUAAGUGUAGCUUCUAGAAAAAAAGCAUCCAAUUAAUCAGUAAUAUGUUUGUGUUGUAUGUUUAUUAAUCUGCAUUAAUGGUGAGUGCUGCGAGUGCAUGUUAGUGAACUCGUGUUUACGUGAGUCUGUUCGUGUCUCCUCUCUUCCAGUUUUAGCGUGAGAGGCACGUUGAGCCCCAGCAAUCCCUGCAUAACAUAACUGACAUAUUAAUUAACCCUCCGCUAUGCUGUCAGUAGGAAAUAAGGCAUCACGACCACAUGAAGGCUGUUUUAGUUACUAGACUGACAGGCCGGGUAAUAGGCAUCCCUGCAGUCACCAUGUCACCUCCCCGCAGGUCAACCAGUCUUAGUCCAGAGGAGGUAGCAAUCACAUCCACAAUGUAGCGAAUCAAAGAGGCUGCAAAAUUAAUGAGGGAAUCAACGUCAAGCCAUGGGGGAAAAGGCAACAUAAAAGAACCGGAAAUGAGAGGAAAUAAGCCCUCACUAAUACCUCAUCUAAGGAGAUUCCACCCAAGUGGGAGGUGUCUUUUGUCAAAGCGCUUCUGCCCCGGUAAUUGUUUUUGACCUUCAACAUCGUCAUUUUUGUGAAGAGAGCUCUUUCUCAGACAGUAUACAGAACGGCAGUGCUGACGAGCUCAGAGAUUUGUCAAAGCCUCUUUUGUGCGAUGCGUAUGAGCUCUGUAAGGCCGUUGUUCAGUAACAUACCUCCGCUUUAUCAAGGGGAUGAGCCGCAUGGAUCACCACUCGACUGUCAGGGUUUUGAAAAGGCUUCAGGCUCGCAGUUUGGGCCAAAGAGGAGGAUUUCAAACUCGCGCGUUGAGGGUCGUUGUAUUCAGAGGGAAGCUUCUUCAUCUGAUGUGUCGUUAGCAUGUAGGUUAGCUAUGCUAAUCAUUUUGACCGCAGAAUAAAAUUUAGUGUCUUGUAGCAGAUGAAAUGCACAAGUAUGUUUGAAAUGACUUUUUUAAUAGAAAGAUUGUGGUUAUUUGAUGACGGAAAGGCAGUUGAUUUUUGGAAAGUGUGUCAUUUUAGGCAUUAAAACUUAAAGCCUUUAUUUUUAUGAUUUUUUUCUAUGUUAUUUUAUUUUAUAUUAUUUAAUUUUAAUCAUACGACUGGGAAAGAAUACUCGCAGAGCUUCUCAAAGUUUAAAAUAAAAUUGAAAUAGCAUUUAAUAAAACAUUCUUUGAAGUACUCCUAAUUUAAUCUUAUUAAAACCUGUAAAGUGUGCUAUGGAUUUAAAGGCACACUUCAGACAUCAGAGUGAACUAUUUUUGAGGUAAUGAAGCAUUGCCAGUGAUCGCUGUGAAGCUGCUCACCAGAUCUCUUGGCUGAGCUUAGAACUUCAAUGGAAGCACACCAGCAAUCAGCGGCCUGGCUGGAUCACAGUGACAGAACAUGUGGCCUCAGCUUCAGAUGUGUAAUUAAGGGAACAUGACAAAGACCCGCAGCUGUUCUUCCAGACCUUACUAAAACUCAAAGAACGACAGCUGAGCUUUGAAGUUUCUGUCCUGGGAGAGACCUUCGCUGACGUUCCAG